CAUGAUGAACGCUAGCUACAGGCUUAACACAUGCAAGUCGAGGGGCAGCAUGGUCUUAGCUUGCUAAGGCCGAUGGCGACCGGCGCACGGGUGAGUAACACGUAUCCAACCUGCCGUCUACUCUUGGACAGCCUUCUGAAAGGAAGAUUAAUACAAGAUGGCAUCAUGAGUCCGCAUGUUCACAUGAUUAAAGGUAUUCCGGUAGACGAUGGGGAUGCGUUCCAUUAGAUAGUAGGCGGGGUAACGGCCCACCUAGUCUUCGAUGGAUAGGGGUUCUGAGAGGAAGGUCCCCCACAUUGGAACUGAGACACGGUCCAAACUCCUACGGGAGGCAGCAGUGAGGAAUAUUGGUCAAUGGGCGAGAGCCUGAACCAGCCAAGUAGCGUGAAGGAUGACUGCCCUAUGGGUUGUAAACUUCUUUUAUAAAGGAAUAAAGUCGGGUAUGCAUACCCGUUUGCAUGUACUUUAUGAAUAAGGAUCGGCUAACUCCGUGCCAGCAGCCGCGGUAAUACGGAGGAUCCGAGCGUUAUCCGGAUUUAUUGGGUUUAAAGGGAGCGUAGAUGGAUGUUUAAGUCAGUUGUGAAAGUUUGCGGCUCAACCGUAAAAUUGCAGUUGAUACUGGAUAUCUUGAGUGCAGUUGAGGCAGGCGGAAUUCGUGGUGUAGCGGUGAAAUGCUUAGAUAUCACGAAGAACUCCGAUUGCGAAGGCAGCCUGCUAAGCUGCAACUGACAUUGAGGCUCGAAAGUGUGGGUAUCAAACAGAAUUAGAUACCCUGGUAGUCCACACGGUAAACGAUGAAUACUCGCUGUUUGCGAUAUACAGCAAGCGGCCAAGCGAAAGCGUUAAGUAUUCCACCUGGGGAGUACGCCGGCAACGGUGAAACUCAAAGGAAUUGACGGGGGCCCGCACAAGCGGAGGAACAUGUGGUUUAAUUCGAUGAUACGCGAGGAACCUUACCCGGGCUUAAAUUGCAGAUGAAUUACGGUGAAAGCCGUAAGCCGCAAGGCAUCUGUGAAGGUGCUGCAUGGUUGUCGUCAGCUCGUGCCGUGAGGUGUCGGCUUAAGUGCCAUAACGAGCGCAACCCUUGUUGUCAGUUACUAACAGGUUCCGCUGAGGACUCUGACAAGACUGCCAUCGUAAGAUGUGAGGAAGGUGGGGAUGACGUCAAAUCAGCACGGCCCUUACGUCCGGGGCUACACACGUGUUACAAUGGGGGGUACAGAGGGCCGCUACCACGCGAGUGGAUGCCAAUCCCCAAAACCUCUCUCAGUUCGGACUGGAGUCUGCAACCCGACUCCACGAAGCUGGAUUCGCUAGUAAUCGCGCAUCAGCCACGGCGCGGUGAAUACGUUCCCGGGCCUUGUACACACCGCCCGUCAAGCCAUGGGAGCCGGGGGUACCAGAAGUGCGUAACCGCGAGGAGCGCCCUAGGGUAAA
rnacentral:rRNA from 1 species